GUAGUCCACGCCCUAAACGAUGCGAACUGGAUGUUGGGAGCAAUUAGGCUCUCAGUAUCGAAGCUAACGCGUUAAGUUCGCCGCCUGGGGAGUACGGUCGCAAGACUGAAACUCAAAGGAAUUGACGGGGGCCCGCACAAGCGGUGGAGUAUGUGGUUUAAUUCGAUGCAACGCGAAGAACCUUACCUGGCCUUGACAUCCACGGAAUCCUUCAGAGAUGAGGGAGUGCCUUCGGGAACCGUGAGACAGGUGCUGCAUGGCUGUCGUCAGCUCGUGUCGUGAGAUGUUGGGUUAAGUCCCGCAACGAGCGCAACCCUUGUCCUUAGUUGCCAGCACGUAAUGGUGGGAACUCUAAGGAGACCGCCGGUGACAAACCGGA
rnacentral:rRNA from 1 species